UUCAUCUGGGCUGUUUGAUUUGAGGCCUCCGCCCUGGACGUGGCUCCUCCAUCAGUGGAGAUCAGCAGCGGUAAGAGGACGAACAAAAGUGACUUGAGGCGCCCUCACCGUUCUCGCCCACUGCUCUGCUGGACAGACAGAGCUGCCCCGGGGGACACUUCAGAGGGUAUCUGAUGCAGUCCAGAGAGGAAACCAGCUGUGGUCAUCCUGAACAGAAGAAUCCCGUCUGAGACUCGUCUCAAAGGCGUGAAGUCGGUUUCCUCUGCGUGUUUAGCUGCAGAGAUCUGAAGGCCAUCGUUGACGGUGCAGUGUGCAGCUUUCUGCCUGGCGAUGGCGCUGGUCAGCUUCUGUCUGAUGGUUUCCCUCAGUAGCUGUGACUGGUUGACUGUCACAGUAGAUGACUCUAAGACUUGUUUGCACUCUGCAGGAGGACCAACCAGAGAUGAGCCAUUUCAUUUAAUUUUCUUGUUAGACUUAGUUUAGUGAUGAGGGUCUGAGCGGUGCUGUAACGUCCUGAAGCCGAGCCGCUGUGAGGCAGCAGCUCCAGGACACGAGCUCUCUCCCCGGCACAGUCCAGCAGCCGUCUGCUGCUCUGACCCAGGGCCUGGACCACACAUGUUGCAAAA